rnacentral:rRNA from 1 species
UACGGAGGGGACUAGCGUUGUUCGGAAUUACUGGGCGUAAAGGGCGCGUAGGCGGCCUUCUAAGUCGAACGUGAAAUCCCCGGGCUCAACCCGGGAACUGCGUCCGAUACUGGAAGGCUUGAAUCCGGGAGAGGGAUGCGGAAUUCCAGGUGUAGCGGUGAAAUGCGUAGAUAUCUGGAGGAACACCGGUGGCGAAGGCGGCAUCCUGGACCGGUAUUGACGCUGAGGCGCGAAAGCCAGGGGAGCAAACGGG